AUCCUGGCUCAGAAUGAACGCUGGCGGCAUGGAUUAGGCAUGCAAGUCGUACGAGAAUCCUCUCUUCGGAGAGGAGGACAGUGGCGAAAGGGUGAGUAACACGUGAGUAUCUACCUCCAGGUCGGGAACAGCCCGCGGAAACGCGGAUUAAUGCCCGAUGGUCCCUUCGGGGUAAAGAGGAAUCGCCCGGAGACGAGCUCGCGGCCCAUCAGCUUGUUGGCGGGGUAACGGCCCACCAAGGCGACGACGGGUAGGUGGUCUGAGAGGAUGGUCACCCACACUGGGACUGAGAUACUGCCCAGACUCCUACGGGAGGCUGCAGUCGAGAAUCAUCCGCAAUGGGCGAAAGCCUGACGGUGCAAUGCCGCGUGGGGGAUGAAGGCCUUCGGGUCGUAAACCCCUGUCAGAGGGGACGAAAAACAUGACGGUACCCUCAGAGGAAGCCACGGCUAACUACGUGCCAGCAGCCGCGGUAAUACGUAGGUGGCGAGCGUUAUUCGGAUUUACUGGGCGUAAAGGGUCCGCAGGGGGUUUGCCGAGUCCGAUGUGAAAGUCCGCAGCUCAACUGCGGAACUGCGUCGGAUACUGGUGAACUUGAGUGCGCGAAGGGCGAGCGGAAUUCCAGGUGUAGCGGUGGAAUGCGUAGAUAUCUGGAAGAACACCGGCGGCGAAAGCGGCUCGCUGGCGCGCCACUGACCCUCAUGGACGAAAGCGUGGGGAGCGAACAGGAUUAGAUACCCUGGUAGUCCACGCUGUAAACGGUGCAGACUCGAUGCGGGGGGCGGUCCCCUCCGUGUCUAAGCCAACGCGUUAAGUCUGCCGCCUGGGGACUACGGCCGCAAGGCUAAAACUCAAAGGAAUUGACGGGGGCCCGCACAAGCGGUGGAGCAUGUGGCUUAAUUCGAGGCAACGCGAAGAACCUUACCCGGGCUUGACAUAUUCCGGACCGCCUGUGAAAGCAGGUUUUCCCUUCGGGGACCGGUAUACAGGUGCUGCAUGGCUGUCGUCAGCUCGUGCCGUGAGGUGUUCGGUUAAGUCCGGCAACGAGCGCAACCCGUAUCGUCAGUUGCCAUCAGGUAAUGCUGGGCACUCUGGCGAGACUGCCCGUGUCAAGCGGGAGGAGGGCGCGGACGACGUCAAGUCCGUAUGGCCCUUACGCCCGGGGCUGCACACGUGCUACAAUGGGCGGUACAGUGGGAAGCGAAACCGCGAGGUGAAGCGAAUCCCCAAAACCGCCCCCAGUUCGGAUCGGAGUCUGCAAUUCGACUCCGUGAAGUCGGAAUCGCUAGUAAAGGCGCAUCAGCAACGGCGCCUUGAAUUCGUUCCCGGGCCUUGUACACACCGCCCGUCACAUCAUGGAAGCCGGCUGCACCCGAAGUUCCGCCUCAGGCGGACCUAAGGUGUGUCCGUAACUGGGAUGAAGUCGUAACAAG
rnacentral:rRNA from 1 species